rnacentral:rRNA from 1 species
CCUACGGGGGGCUGCAGUGGGGAAUAUUGGACAAUGGGGGCAACCCUGAUCCAGCCAUGCCGCGUGUGUGAAGAAGGCCCUCGGGUUGGAAAGCACUUUCAGUGAGGAAGAACGCCUGGUGGUUAAUACCCAUCAGGAAAGACAUCACUCACAGAAGAAGCACCGGCUAACUCCGUGCCAGCAGCCGCGGUAAUACGGAGGGUGCGAGCGUUAAUCGGAAUUACUGGGCGUAAAGCGCGCGUAGGUGGCUUGAUAAGCCGGUUGUGAAAGCCCCGGGCUCAACCUGGGAACGGCAUCCGGAACUGUCAAGCUAGAGUGCAGGAGAGGAAGGUAGAAUUCCCGGUGUAGCGGUGAAAUGCGUAGAGAUCGGGAGGAAUACCAGUGGCGAAGGCGGCCUUCUGGACUGACACUGACACUGAGGUGCGAAAGCGUGGGUAGCAAACAGGAUUAGAUACCCCAGUAGUC